AAGGAUCCUUUCUUGUUUCCAUUUGGUGCCACGGCUUGGGUGAAGGUUUCAGAGUGGUUAAAAAGUUGCCUCCUGGCUGGAGGCAGCGGCUCUGGCAGAGAUCUCGGGACUGGGGAAGGCAGAGGGGUCCCGCCAAGGCUACCAGAUUCCGGAGACGCCUAGUUUCGCUGGCAGGAGAGCCUUUGGAAGAGAUACUCGCCCAGCCCAGCCUGGGGGCGGCCAGCCUGCACAGGUUGGUCAAGUGGACGGCCAUCUUGACGAGCUCCUCCUCCAGGAAGUGGUGCUCCCGGAGCUUGGAGAGCGGGGCGUCUGCGUCCGCAGAACCCAGGACGUGUAGAUCCUAGAGGGAGCCUGGUUAGGGCUCUUCUCGGGGGCCGUGGGGGCCUCCACUCCUCCCGGGCCAUCACCUGCCGGUCCUACCAGGGCGCGGCCACCCCACUGCUUCCGCGCCUUAAGGAAAAGCUCGGCGCCCUUGCACUUCGGCCAACAUCCAGAAGAAGCGGCCCACACCUUCCAGAGCCACCUCGUUGCCUUUGAAGUAGAAGCUCCGAGAGGAUGUCUGUCGAGUCUUUCCACUGAAGGACACUGAGUCUUCCCUCAUUGAGAUACUGCCUCUGGGUUUGCAAACAACUACACGGGUGAGAGCUGGGCGGUGCACUACACUGGUCUGGACGAGCUGGAUUCCUGGGCAGAGGAAGGGGCAGCCGUGGCUUGUUUGUGAGUAUGGCAGAAGGUAAGGAAUUUGAUUCAAGCUGGUAAAGAACAAGCGCCAGGGAGGAGAGAGGAGUCAUUCGUCCUUUCCCCCUCCUGCUGGUAUAAACAACAGGAAGCAAAGACCCUCUUGUUCCUUCCACGGCCUCCAGCUGCUCCUUUCAGCCAGCACACAGCUGACCCACAGGCGCCUCACUGGACUCUGCUCUAAAAGCAGGCACAGCAUAAGAUUUCUUCCUGAGAUGUUUACUUGCCAAGAACAAUGGUGACACAAUCAAGAGCUGCGUUUCUAUUCCCUGAGAGGUGGACGAAGGUGAAACUGCUGGCCUGCCAGACCUUUCUUUCCCGAGUUUCCUUCCAGCAGGAAGCCGGGGAGUGUUUAUCCUAAAGCUCUCGGUUCUCAGGCCGCCGCUGCCUCCUCAGUGUAAGUAAACUCAGUGAAAACAUGCCACCGUAACCGCCAGAUAAGCCUCACUCCAGAAUCACCAGGAAGGAGGCUGAGGUGGGUUCACCUGCCCGCACAGGUCAGGUCAGCCUGACACUAUUCCCCUUUCCUUGAAUCCUUUUUCUUCUUUCUGAGAAUUUCACGACUGCUGUGGCCUGAAGCAGAUUCUCUUAGUCCUCUUUUGACCUCACAAAUCUCCCUCUUCCUUCCGGACUGUCACUUGAAGGAGGUGUGUGCUUGCCUGCCUGGGGAGGAACUGCCAGCAAUUCAAGGAAUAAGCGUUAAGUGGGAGAAAAUGGAUUGGUGCGCAAGCCGGGCGCCCUCGCCAGAACUGGGGGAGGCCUGCAGGUAAAGACACUGCGGUCUCUUUUAGAAAGAUUAAAAGAAAGAAAAUUGGAGACCCAUAAAAAAUUAGUAUCAGAUGCAGAUUCUGGGUGGUUUUUUUGGUUAAAAAUAGUUUGACAUGUAGACCUCAGGCUAAAACUGAAAAGCUCUAUUUAUUGAACUCCACAAACAAAGAAUAUUGGUAAUAGGUUUAGAAGAUAGAUUUAAAAAAGGCAAUUAUGACUGCUGCCUGAAUAUUAUGAAAUAUUUGACAUACGAGCUAUAAGCCAAUAGGAGAAAUAAACAUUUUCUUGUUAUGAAUUUAUAUCAUUUUCUUUAAAAAAAAAAAAAUUAGAUGCCAAGAAA